GCUCCAUAUAAAAUUAAUACGGAGGAUUUCCCGAGCGGCCAAAGGGGGCAGACUGUAAAUCUGUUGUCAUCGACUUCGGUGGUUCGAAUCCACCAUCCUCCACCAAAAAAAUGCGCGGAUGUGGCGGAAUUGGCAGACGCACUAGACUUAGGAUCUAGCGCCAUUGGCGUGGGGGUUCGACUCCCUUCAUCCGCACCAUUUUUAUUUAAUUUAAUAAACGAGCGGGAAUAGUUCAGUGGUAGAGCGCAACCUUGCCAAGGUUGAAGUCGCGAGUUCGAAUCUCGUUUCCCGCUCCAAAUUUUAUGUUUAUGUUGUAAUGUGGGUGCAUAGCUCAGCUGGAUAGAGCAACGCCCUUCUAAGGCGUGUGUCCGGGGUUCGAAUCCCUGUGCGCUCACCACAUAUAUUGGGGAUUAGCCAAGUCGGUAAGGCACAUGACUUUGACUCAUGUAUGCGUAGGUUCGAGUCCUGCAUCCCCAGCCAAAUGAUGUAUUACUAAGCUAUAUUUGAAUUAUUUUUAUUUUAAAUAUAGUUAGGUUCAAUUUUAGAAUAAGUUUAAGUAUCCGAAUGUGGAGAGGUGUCCGAGUGGUUUAAGGAGCUGGUCUUGAAAACCAGUGACUUCGAAAGGGGCCGUGGGUUCGAAUCCCACCCUCUCCGCCAAAUGCCCAGAUAGCUCAGUCGGUAGAGCAGGGGACUGAAAAUCCCCGUGUCGGUGGUUCGAUUCCGCCUCUGGGCACCAAAAUGUGGCGGUAUAGCUUAGUUGGCUAGAGCGUUCGGUUCAUACCCGAAAGGUCAUAGGUUCGACUCCUAUUACCGCUACUAAAAUUUAAUGUGGGCCAUUAGCUCAGUUGGUUAGAGCGCCCGGCUCAUAACCGGUAGGUCUGGGGUUCGAGUCCCUGAUGGCCCACCACAUUAAAUUAAUUAAUAUAAAUUCGAGGUGUAGCGCAGUUUGGUAGCGCACAUGGUUUGGGACCAUGGGGCCGGGGGUUCGAGUCCCUUCACCUCGACCAAUAUAAGGUGGGUAUAGCUCAGUUGGUUAGAGCGCCAGAUUGUGGCUCUGGAGGUCGUGAGUUCGACUCUCAUUAUCCACCCCAAUUCAUAUGGUCUAUUAGCUCAGUCGGUAGAGCACCUGACUUUUAAUCAGGGUGUCCCGCGUUCGAGUCGCGGAUAGAUCACCAAAAAGGUGGCGACAUAGCCAAGUGGUAAGGCAGUGGACUGCAACUCCUUGAUCCCCAGUUCGAAUCUGGGUGUCGCCUCCAAAAUAUUCCAAGGUAGCUCAACGGUGGAGCAACCGGCUGUUAACCGGUAGGCUGUGGGUUCGAGCCCCACCCUUGGAGCCAAAAAAGCCGAAGUGGCGGAACUGGCAGACGCACAGGACUUAAAAUCCUNUGACACAGUAGGAUAAGCUAAGCACACUGUUGGUUAUGUGUGCCCAAGCAUUGAGGCAGUCAAAGUAGGCAAAUCCGCUUUGAUAAUGCUGGGAUGUGAUGGGGAGCGAAAUUUAGUAGCGAAGUAGCUGAUUUCACACUGUCAAGAAAAGUCUCUAUCGAGGUUAAAGGUACCCGUACCGCAAACCGACACAGGUGGGUGAGGAGAGUAUCCUAAGGCCAGCGAGAGAACUGUUGUUAAGGAACUCGGCAAAAUGACCCCGUAACUUAGGGAUAAGGGGUGCCACCAUCAGGUGGCCGCAGAGAAUAGGCCCAAGCGACUGUUUACCAAAAACAUAGGUUUCUGCUAAGUCGCAAGACGAUGUAUAGGAGCUGACGCCUGCCCGGUGCUGGAAGGUUAAGGGGAUCUGUUAGAGCAAUCGAAGCAGUGAACUUAAGCCCCAGUAAACGGCGGCCGUAACUAUAACGGUCCUAAGGUAGCGAAAUUCCUUGUCGGGUAAGUUCCGACCCGCACGAAAGGCGUAACGAUUUGGGCACUGUCUCAACAACAGACUCGGUGAAAUUGUAAUUCCGGUGAAGAUGCCGGAUACCUGCGACAGGACGGAAAGACCCCAUGGAGCUUUACUGUAGCUUGACAUUGGGUCUUGGUACUACAUGUACAGGAUAGGUGGGAGGCUUUGAAACCAGGACGCCAGUUUUGGCGGAGCCAUCCUUGGGAUACCACCCUUGUAGUACUGGGACUCUAACCAUAGGCCAUGAAUCUGGUCUUGGGACACUGUCAGGUGGGCAGUUUGACUGGGGCGGUCGCCUCCCAAAAGGUAACGGAGGCGCUCAAAGGUUCUCUCAGUACGGUCGGAAAUCGUACGUAGAGUGUAAAGGCAAAAGAGAGCUUGAUUGCAAGACAUACAGGUCGAGCAAGGAUGAAAAUCGGACUUAGUGAUCCGGUGGUUCUGCGUGGAAGGGCCAUCGCUCAACGGAUAAAAGCUACCCUGGGGAUAACAGGCUUAUCUCCCCCAAGAGUCCACAUCGACGGGGAGGUUUGGCACCUCGAUGUCGGCUCAUCACAUCCUGGGGCUGUAGUAGGUCCCAAGGGUUGGGCUGUUCGCCCAUUAAAGUGGUACGCGAGCUGGGUUCAGAACGUCGUGAGACAGUUCGGUCCCUAUCCGUCGCAGGCGUAGGAAAUUUGAGAAGACCUGUCCUUAGUACGAGAGGACCGGGAUGGACGUACCUCUGGUGUACCAGUUGUCCUGCCAAGGGCAUGGCUGGGUAGCUAUGUACGGAAUGGAUAAGCGCUGAAAGCAUCUAAGCGCGAAGCCAACUUCAAGAUAAGAUUUCCCACCGCAAGGGUAAGACCCCAGAAAGACUAUCUGGUUGAUAGGUCGAAGGUGUAAGUGCAGCAAUGUAUUUAGCUUAUCGAUACUAAUAGGUCGAGGACUUGACCAA
rnacentral:rRNA from 1 species